UCGGGAAUUUUGGACAAUGGGCGCAAGCCUGAUCCAGCCAUGCCGCGUGGAUGAUGAAGGCCUUAGGGUUGUAAAAUCCUUUCGUGGGGGACGAUAAUGACGGUACCCCAAGAAGAAGCUCCGGCUAACUUCGUGCCAGCAGCCGCGGUAAUACGAAGGGGGCUAGCGUUAUUCGGAUUUACUGGGCGUAAAGCGCGUGUAGGCGGGUCGUUAAGUUGGGGGUGAAAUCCCGAGGCUCAACCUCGGAACUGCCUUCAAAACUGGCGACCUGGACCCAAGUAGAGGCAAGUGGAAUUGCGAGUGUAGAGGUGAAAUUCGUAGAUAUUCGCAGGAACACCAGUGGCGAAGGCGACUUGCUGGACUUGUGGUGACGCUGAGACGCGAAAGCGUGGGGAGCAAACAGGAUUAGAUACCCUCGUAGUCCCUGAGCGGGCUGGCAAGGCGCAU
rnacentral:rRNA from 1 species